AUGAACGCUGGCGGCGUGCCUCAUACCUGCAAGUCGAGCGAACGGACGAGAAGCUUGCUUUUCUGAUGUUAGCGGCGGACGGGUGAGUAACACGUGGAUAACCUACCUAUAAGACUGGGAUAACUUCGGGAAACCGGAGCUAAUACCGGAUAAUAUUUUGAACCGCAUGGUUCAAAAGUGAAAGACGGUCUUGCUGUCACUUAUAGAUGGAUCCGCGCUGCAUUAGCUAGUUGGUAAGGUAACGGCUUACCGAGGCAACGAUGCAUAGCCGACCUGAGAGGGUGAUCGGCCACACUGGAACUGAGACACGGUCCAGACUCCUACGGGAGGCAGCAGUAGGGAAUCUUCCGCAAUGGGCGAAAGCCUGACGGAGCAACGCCGCGUGAGUGAUGAAGGUCUUCGGAUCGUAAAACUCUGUUAUUAGGGAAGAACAUAUGUGUAAGUAACUGUGCACAUCUUGACGGUACCUAAUCAGAAAGCCACGGCUAACUACGUG
rnacentral:rRNA from 1 species